GGGGGGUCCCUACUUAUAGAAAAUGGAGACCGUUAGAUUUGUGCCAAGCGGCAAAAUCUGGUGAGGAGAGAGAAAGUUGAGUGGGAAAAGAGCAAUGUGAUGCAACGCGAUGGCGACAUAAAAAAUAGAGGAACAACCUCCCAAUCGGCAGCAGCAUACGAAGCCCAAGGGGCGGCGGCACACUGCCCGAGGUAGUAGUACGUCGGCCUAUCCUAUCGCACGCAGGGCCUACAGCGCAUGAGUUAUUGCGCACAGACCUACUG
rnacentral:lncRNA from 1 species